GCGUGGGUAACCUGCCUCAUACAGGGGGAUAACAGUUAGAAAUGACUGCUAAUACCGCAUAAGACCACAGGUUCGCAUGACCUGGUGGGAAAAACACCGGUGGUAUGAGAUGGACCCGCGUCUGAUUAGGUAGUUGGUGGGGUAACGGCCUACCAAGCCAACGAUCAGUAGCCGACCUGAGAGGGUGACCGGCCACAUUGGGACUGAGACACGGCCCAAACUCCUACGGGAGGCAGCAGUGGGGAAUAUUGCACAAUGGGGGAAACCCUGAUGCAGCGACGCCGCGUGAGCGAAGAAGUAUUUCGGUAUGUAAAGCUCUAUCAGCAGGGAAGAAAAUGACGGUACCUGACUAAGAAGCACCGGCUAAAUACGUGCCAGCGGCCGCGGUAAUACGUAUGGUGCAAGCGUUAUCCGGAUUUACUGGGUGUAAAGGGAGCGUAGACGGCUGUGUAAGUCUGAAGUGAAAGCCCGGGGCUCAACCCCGGGACUGCUUUGGAAACUAUGCAGCUAGAGUGUCGGAGAGGUAAGUGGAAUUCCCAGUGUAGCGGUGAAAUGCGUAGAUAUUGGGAGGAACAC
rnacentral:rRNA from 1 species